rnacentral:rRNA from 1 species
GACGAACGCUGGCGGCGUGCUUAACACAUGCAAGUCGAACGGAAAGGCCCUGCUUUUGUGGGUUGCUCGAGUGGCGAACGGGUGAGUAACACGUGAGUAACCUGCCCUUGACUUUGGGAUAACUUCAGGAAACUGGGGCUAAUACCGGAUAGGAGCUCCUGCUGCAUGGUGGGGGUUGGAAAGUUUCGGCGGUUGGGGAUGGACUCGCGGCUUAUCAGCUUGUUGGUGGGGUAGUGGCUUACCAAGGCUUUGACGGGUAGCCGGCCUGAGAGGGUGACCGGCCACAUGGGGACUGAGAUACGGCCCAGACUCCUACGGGAGGCAGCAGGGGGGAAUAUUGCACAAUGGGCGGAAGCCUGAUGCAGCAACGCCGCGUGCGGGAUGACGGCCUUCGGGUUGUAAACCGCUUUCGCCGGUGACGAAGCGUGAGUGACGGUAAUGGGUAAAGAAGCACCGGCUAACUACGUG